UGGGGAAUAUUGCACAAUGGGGGAAACCCUGAUGCAGCGACGCCGCGUGAACGAAGAAGGUAUUCGUAUCGUAAAGUUCUGUCCUAUGGGAAGAUAAUGACAGUACCAUAGAAGAAAGCUCCGGCUAAAUACGUGCCAGCAGCCGCGGUAAUACGUAUGGAGCGAGCGUUGUCCGGAAUUAUUGGGCGUAAAGGGUACGCAGGCGGUUUAAUAAGUCGAAUGUUAAAGAUCGGGGCUCAACCCCGCAAAGCAUUGGAAACUGAUAAACUUGAGUAGUGGAGAGGAAAGUGGAAUUCCUAGUGUAGUGGUGAAAUACGUAGAUAUUAGGAGGAAUACUAGUAGCGAAGGCGACUUUCUGGACACAAACUGACGCUGAGGUACGAAAGCGUGGGGAGCAAACAGG
rnacentral:rRNA from 1 species